UACGUAGGGUGCAAGCGUUAUCCGGAAUGAUUGGGCGUAAAGCGUCCGCAGGUGGCUGUGUAAGUCUGCUGUUAAAGAGUCUAGCUCAACUAGAUAAGAGCAGUGGAAACUACACGGCUAGAGUACGUUCGGGGCAGAGGGAAUUCCUGGUGUAGCGGUGAAAUGCGUAGAGAUCAGGAAGAACACCGGUGGCGAAGGCGCUCUGCUAGGCCGUAACUGACACUGAGGGACGAAAGCUAGGGGAGCGAAUGGG
rnacentral:rRNA from 1 species